GCCUGGGAAAACAGUCUCAGCUUUGAGUAGUUUCUGGCUUGCUAUUAGAGAGACAAACAGAAAAGAGUUAAUCAGGCAUUAUUAUGUAGAAAUGUUAAAAACCCAAAGUAAUAAACUUAUAAAAUCUUAUAGAUGUAGAAUAUUUUUAAAAUCUCUUAAAUCUCUUAAUUUUUUUCCUUUUUAUUCCUAAGAGAAAUUCCCUUAUAUUAACUGCUUAAUCUGAAGAAAGAUAUCCCAAUACAGUCUUUCUUCCUUAUUCUGUAAAAUAGUCACUUGUCUUGAAAAAAAAAAAAAAGAGCUUUUUUUCUUAAAGGCUUCAAAACAUUUAGAGAGGAUUACAUUUACCUUUUUAAAAACCGAUCUUCACAUCUGCUUUCUAUUUGAUGGUUUCCUGUAAACCAACAGAAAACAUUACAUUUGACAGAUGAUGCACAAAGCAAUGCCAUGUUCCUUUAUUAGUGAACUUGCUGAUUUUAUAAAAUUUGGGUAUGUUUUUUAAUCUUCUUAGUCAAAUGCUGGAAGCCCCAGAAUUCCCAGUGCUAGAAACGCAGACUGACCUUACACCCAGUUCAGAAUUUCUCAGGAUUCCUGUGGGCUCUCGCUCAUCAGAUUCUGUUGACAUUUCUGUUUCUCGUAGUUGGUUUGCUGUGUUCUGUCAGCAGACGUGCUGUGCUAAGAUCAGCUGUUGUAACUCCCCACAACUCCUAGGGUGAAAUUGUGAUCCGUGUGUGAACUAAAACAUUUGCCCCUCUAGGGACUUAAAAGGAAGCAAAUACAGAGCCACCUCCUUGGAGAUACAAAACGGUUGCGUUCUGAAAUAGCCAGUCUCCGUAAGACUCUAAACUCCCCGCUGCUUCCGGUCUCAUCUUGCCUUAAGUGUUAUUUUUUUGAAUAUAUGAAUAUAAACAUACAGAUGAUGACUGGAGUGGACUUUUAAAAAACUAUUUUUUUCACAAGAUACUAUUUUAGGUGAAAAUGUUCCUGUAGAUUUAACAGCUGUUUUAAAGUAUUUGCUAUUAAAACUUGCUUCAAGAACAAGCGUGGCUAUGUUUCCACACACAGGCAAUAGCAACAGAAAGCAAAGCGCUCCUGUUCGUCCACCAGCUGAGGCCGAGAGUGGCGUUUCCAGGUGACAUCUUCCUGCCCCAUGUUACUUGAUUGGCCAGGAUUUUCUGCUGUAGAAUCUCUCGGCUUUUCACAGGUUAAGUUUCACAUUUUCCAAAUACGGUGAACUUGGGCGGCUGUGGAGGCCGCUCUCCCUGUGGUGCUGCGCCCGUCUUCUAUCCACAUGUUCUAAGAGUCUCCCGGUGAGAAGCCUGUCUCUGUCCAUCCCUUCAGAAGACACGAGUCAACACUGCCUUCUCCUCUGCGCAACUGGCCCAGUAGCCAAGGUCGACUUUGAACUCCUUGAUCCUCCUGCCUCCACCUCUCAAGUGCCGGGAUUAGGCUUGCGCCACCCCGCCCAGUGUGACUAUGCAGCUUUUCAUCGAACUGCAAAAUCUAUACAAAGAUGAAUCUAAACUUAGUCCUGAGUGUUCGAAUCCAUCGUUGUAAACACAAACAACAGUCUGCUACCUUUUCUGUAAAUGCUCACCUGCCGUUGAGUAACUUAGCUCUUAAAAAAAAAAUGGGUACAGUUAAAAGUUUGUCAUUUGUAUGAGAAAAGACACCUGAAGAGAUUGGAAACAAUCCCAUGUCGUCUUCCAUGAACCUGCAUGUGGUGUUCAGUGUGUUCCC
rnacentral:lncRNA from 1 species